rnacentral:rRNA from 1 species
AAAAGCUUUCUUUAAUUGAAUAAUUGAAUUUAAUUUUUUAGUGCAAAAGCAAAAAUAAAAAUUAGGGACAAGAAGACCCUAUGAAUUUUUUAUUAAAUUUUAUAAAAAGUUUUAUAAAAUUUAAUUUAAUUGGGGUGAUGGAAAAAGAAUAAAUAUCUUUUUUUUAAAGAAAAUUGGUUCCGUUUUUAGCGAUUAAAUGAAAAAAAUACUCUAGGGAUAACAGCGUAAUAAUUUUGGAUAGUUCAUAUAGAUAAAAUAGUUUGCGACCUCGAUGUUGGAUUAGGAUUCUUUUUUGGUGAAGAAGUUAAAAAAA